UCUGGAGCUUGGAAGAGGAAGUUGAACAUUUUAAUCGUAGAUUGGGACAACUGACCUUGAAGAGAAGAGAUCCCUUGUCUACAGUCUGCUGGUACCUGAGGGAGGAGAACAGUGAGCCUGAGGAACAGCCACAAAACCAGAUGCAGACCUUGAAUGACUCCCUGGAGUUCCACCAAGAGCAUUGGAACUUCAAGGAAAUGAGUGAAGGUGGAGAUCUGGCCAGUAUCACACAGGCAAACGACCUCCAUGAACUGGCACCUCGCCUUGUAGGUGUUGAAACUGGGCAAGCAUUAUUGGAAGGCCAAGUGUCAGAUCUACACACCCAGCUAUUCCAAACUAAGUGUGAG